AAAUCUGCCGACCCAGCACCGCCAUUUCUUGACCUAGCCAGUCAUUAGAAAGCUUGCUGCCAUUGUUGACGAAGCCUCAGCCCUAGCACGGUUGCCGUGAGCUCUAGUUGAGGUCGCAGGGUUCUGCCGAGCCCUAGUUUCCACUGCCGAGUUCCUUCUUCACCAAAUCCUUACGCUGUUAGGAUUUGGGUUUUUGGCGGUGUACACUGUCAGCCAUUUCUCCGGCCACAGAAGGUCACCAGCAGCUAGUUGUGAGGGGUGUUUCAGUUAGACACAAGGAACUGCCACCGUAGAGUUGCCCCUGUUCCGGCAGCCCUCAUUUCAGCAGUAAACGAUUAGCAGCAAUCAGUGGCUGUGAUUUGAGGGUUUUGACGCGAGACGAGUAUCUCGACGUUGGCUUUGGACCGGAUACGAUCCUUUCU